CGGGUUGUUGCUGGCCCCCAAAAGGGGCACGUGCACGCUCUGUUUACACAUCCACUCACACCUGUGCACCCUCUGUAGUUCUGUGGAUCGGGAGACGUCGUCUUCCUUCUGCGGCUCUACUUCUUUACACACACACUGUAGCGAAGUCUCAUGGAAUGUUUUUUCGCGUUUAACGCAAUACAAUACAACUUUCAGCAACGGAUCUCUUGGCUCUCGCAUCGAUGAAGAACGCAGCGAAAUGCGAUAAGUAAUGUGAAUUGCAGAAUUCAGUGAAUCAUCGAAUCUUUGAACGCACCUUGCGCCCCUUGGUUAUUCCUCGGGGCAUGCCUGUUUGAGUAUCAUGAACAUCUCAACUCUCAUGGUCUUCCGUGAUGAGCUUGGACUUUGGGGGUUUGCUGGCCCUGUGGCCGGCUCCUCUCAAAUGGAUCAGCUUGCCAGUGUUUGGCGGCGUCACGGGUGUGAUAACUAUCUACGCCCGCGGCCGUCUGUCAGGUAACCCUCAGCGAUGAAGGUUCAUUGGGGCUCACAAAUGUCUCUCCCCGGCGAGGACAACUUUUGAACGUUCGAUCUCAAAUCAGGUAGGACUACCCGCUGAACUUAAGCAUAUCAAUAAGCGGAGGAAAAGAAACUAACAAGGAUUCCCCUAGUAACUGCGAGUGAAGCGGGAAGAGCUCAAAUUUAAAAUCUGGCGUGCCUUUGGUCGUCCGAAUUGUAUCUGGAGAAGCGUUUUCGGCGCUGGACCGUGUAC
rnacentral:rRNA from 1 species